rnacentral:rRNA from 1 species
UACAGAGGCCCCGAGCAUUAUCCGGAAUCACUGGGCGUAAAGGGUGUGUAGGCGGUUUUGUUAGUCUUUUGUGAAAGAUCCCCGGCUUAACCGGGGAGACGCAGGGGAAACGGCAAGACUCGAGGAUAUGAGAGGUAUAGGGAACUCAUGGUGUAGGGGUGAAAUCCGUUGAUAUCAUGGGGAACACCAAAUGCGAAGGCACUAUACUGGCAUAUUCCUGACGCUGAGACACGAAAGCGUGGGCAUCGAAUGGG